CUCGCUGUGGUACCCGCUGUAGUGGGGAGCGGCCACCGCCAUCACGCGCCAAGGCCCUUGCCUACUGCGGCUGCCUCUGGCACCGGGCAGUGGGGGCUCUGGCUGGCUUUAUAGCUCUCUGCAAGAUGGCACCAGGGUCCAGGCUGUUCAGGGACUGUCCUGGGGAAGCCCUCGAAAUGGAUCAGCUUGGAUUUGUGCCAUGCCGGCAGGGGAAAGGCGCAGAGUAGGCGAGGGUGUGCCUUCCGUGCCGGUGCUGUGGCCUGCUUGGCUCCGGCCGGGUGGCCGCUGUGGUGCAUGGUGGCUGUCCUGCAGCUGGGGUCCUGCCACCAGCUGAAGGACCAGGGUGGUAACUAUGGCAGAACCAGCUCUAAACUACCGCCUCCACCAGCGUUUGGUCUGGCUGUUGUUUGGUGGUGGUGGAAAAAUGAAGGCAGAACGCAGGUUGGCACGUAGCGUGGUCUCUUCUGAGGUGUGCCGACUGGACUAUUUUUAUCUUUGGGUUGGGGAGCUGAUUAUUAUAUUUUUUUCCCCUCUUCCACAGAGGUGUUGACUGUUUCUGUUAGCAGGAGGCCCAGAAGCUUUUAGAUCUCUCUCCCCAGACAGGAAGGGCAUGGACUGGAAUCACACCGAUGCCGUGGAUUUCCUGCAUUGCUUCCUGUUGAACUCAUGGGCCAAGAGCUAGGAGGGGACAUACCGUGUUACAGGGCCUGUCUGCAGCGUGCAAUUCCUGAGUGACUGGUUUUGAGGCAGGGGGGAAAGCGUUGCGGGUUGAAUUACAGAGUGGGGGGAUCCUGUGUGGUCUCUCAGCAGAUUGUAUGGCAAACGAGGUGUCGGUUUUUGCUUUUUCCUGAGCAAGGCUUUGACUUCGCCCAAGAGGAGCUGCGGUAAGUUUAUUGAUUUGCUUGUGUUGCCACUGGUGCUGGGCUUUUUUAUUCUUUCUGCUGCUGCUUUUGUGGUCAGGGUGCCCUAACCUUUCUCUGUGGGGUCUAAACGUCUCCGUUUAGGGCUAAUGUGAUGUCCGGGUGUGAGUAUGUUAGUGAAUGGCUGCAGAGCAUUGCUAUUUCCUUCUCCUUUUGGCCUAUUAUGUAUAGAUUGCAAAUACUUUUGAAUUUUCCCAUGUUUCUGAACUGAUCAGGGCUGUGACUUCUUUUCCCAUAUACUCUAUUGGACAAAACUUGUGCGUGUAAGAAGGUGGUUCAGGUGAGAUAGGACUGUGGAUACUGGUUCUUCUCCAGUACUGGGCAGUAUAAAGGUGUCAAAGACAACUUACUAUUCAGAGGAUGUUAAAACUCUUCCAGGAGAGUGCCUGUAUGUAGCAGAGGGUAGAGGGUCAGCAACAGCCUGGUAGCUGAAUAUUUGAUGUUUUGCUGUGAGGUCUUUCUGUUCCCUGCCUGCUGCAUUGUGGUCAGUAGCUGCAAGGUGUGUCUGUGCUUUCCUGUACCUCUCUGUGGUAUUCUGCAGUAUUUAUGGGCCUGACCUGGGCAGCUGGAGAGCAGGAGGAAAGCAGCCCCACAAAGGCAGGGACCUGCCCUGGCCUCUUCCUCACAGCACAAAGGCAGAGGGUUUGGGGCUGGAGGCUCAGGGUGGCCGUGUUGUUGUUCUUCAUGUUAUUCUGCAGAAUUGCACCUCUCUCCUUGGAGCAGAGAGGAGUUUGCCAUCAUUUCAAAGGAUGCAUGUGGAGAUUUCCAUCACACACAGAGCUCCCCAGCCCAGCACAGGCCAGCCCAAGUUACAGAGCCAGGCCAUGUUAGUGACCCUUUGACAUUCUCAUCCUGUCUGAUGCUAGAGAGGAAAAGUUGCCACACCUGUUUGGCGUUUUCACAUUUUUUUAAGUGGACCUCCCUUCUUCUGCUGUAAUGAUUUAAACACCUGGAAAUACUGUAUGCAUGAGUUUGCAUUAAAUAAAGCAACCUGCUUGCACAGUAGAUGAUCACCUCUUUCCACUCCUAUCUAUUCAACACUUGUGUUUAAAACACUAGUAUUUUACAUCCACUUGUGUUCCCUCCAGCCCUUCCAGCCACUUCCUUGCUGCCAGACACCACUCCCUGCGCACUGGUGUGUGCCACGGGGAAAUUGGGGUCAGGUUGCUGUGGGCAUCUACAAGAGUAGAGAGGUUGAGGCGAAGGCAGUGCCAAAAGCAUCAAGUUGUGUGCUGUUUGUUUUGUCUGGGUAAUGAGCUGCUAUUUAAAGGUAGAUUGUUUACUUGUAGCCCAUGUAGAAAUCAGAGUAUGCAUAUUCAGGAGGUAUGAAAAUUGAGGAUACUGUUUUCUGGACUCUCAAGGUAGUGUCAGUCACGUCAUUUGCUUUCGGUAAUGUUCACUCAAGAAGUCAAGGCAUCUUAAUACUUCAAAUAUAGAUUAGAUACUGUUUAAAGAUCACGAUUAAUAUUGCAAAGCAAAAGGCCGUAGUUAAAAGCUCUAAUUCUCCCUUUUUGUGAUUCCUGACACCAUCUUUAAUUCUUUAGUUGCGUUUUUCCCCCUCUCUUGAUCUCCAUCUUGGUUUUUGGGUUUGAUAGUUCUCCUAUAGCAAUGCCCUGUUGUGUGUAUUGCAUUGUCUGUGAGAAAAGUCUAAUUCUUCACCUUUUGCAGUUUGGAAGAGGAGCGUGGCUAAAGCUUCUACAGAACUGGAUUCAAUUAUUGACAGAGGUCCCUGUGUUGUUAGGAAGUAAAUUAAACACCCAGAAAAUGAUUAAACUCUUGAUAAAACCUGAGAUUUGUGAGCUAAUUUUCAGAAAGCCUCAUGCUCCUGAAUGCAGCCUGUAGUAAAAGGAUCUGUAAUAAUAUCUAAGGAAAGCUGCAGAAUGUGAAAUACUCGAAGAAUGAUUUCAGCCUCAGAGUCUCGGUCUGGGAAUACAGAAUUGGUGGAUUUACUUUGGAUUUCAGUCUGUCUGACCUAGAUCAAUAAACAGAUUUAGACUUCAGACUCCCUCUGGGUCAGUAUCUCCGUAUCUGGAGGACCUGGGUUUUCUGUCUGUAAUUCCCCAUAUAUGAGGUAUGGCUAAUAUCAUUCCUUCCCAUCUCACAAGGGUAUCAUGAAGUUAAAGUUAAGUACUUACUGAGAGUAAAACAGCCUGCUAUACAGAAAGUGCAGAAACUCGCUUGUUAAAUUCUGUCUUAACAGCAGAGUGUGAGUAGUUAAUAAGCCUUAAUGAUGGAGCAGGGAGGGAAGAAUGAAUACUGAUUGCCUUCCCCUUAAUUGAUGGUGCUAUCCUGUACUGUGAAUGAGGCAGAGUGGUCUUUGGCAGGGUCAGGGAGGGGAAAUCUGUGCAGCGUAGACGUGCAAGAACAGGGACUUACAGUCUGAUUGCAUGCUUCAAACCAAACAAUUCCCAAUUCUUAACUCUUCCUUUAAGGCAUGCAAUUUUCUCUUACUUAAAGAAAAAAUGAAAAUCCCCACUGUUUAAAAAUGAAGGCUCCCAUUACAGUUGUAAACGUUAUGUCCUCAUGCAGGAUUUCUGUCUCUCGUUUGAGCAAGGAGACUCGCUUCCACGGUAGGUGGCUGUGCUCCCCCAUGGCUUCCCGCUGCGCCAGGAGGACACAGGAGAGUUCACCUCAGUUCCCACCUCUGGAAGCAAAUGGCCUUAGACCUUUCUCCCAGGAGCAUGGUUUUUUUCAGGCUCUCAUCCCAGUCAGCUCCUUUGCCCCCUCGGAUCUGGUGUGGGGAGGAGACGAUGAGUGACCGGGUUUCCCCACGGAGCCUGCACCUGCACCAGUUGGGGCAAUCACGAAAAUCCAAAGAUGUGACAGGCUCCUCUCUUCACCGGUGGAGAUGGGCAUGGUCUGGUUGUCACCGGGGAAGCGUGCGAAGUUCAAGCAUACUCAGCAAGGAAAGGCUCAUGGGAGAUAUUAGUUAUUCACACUUCAGAGGUCUUUGUCUGCCAUGGAUAUGCUCUAUGCUACUAUCGGAUGCGGGCAUAAAAGCUUCUUUCCAUGUUCAGCAUAAUCUAAA